rnacentral:lncRNA from 1 species
UAGGAGCACGGAGGCCUCCGUGCUCCUAAACCGUUUUCGAUGAUGGAAUUUCUGAAUCGACAAUCAGCUUCAUUAGACUUGAUCUAGUGUAUUUGAAGUUUCUAGAAAAUAAUUUUCGUGAUUUAUCUAGCGAAAGGAUUGAAGAUCAAUAAUUUUUAAUGGUUGAUGUCUGUCGUUUUCAAGUUUAACGGUGUAGAAGCAUUUAAAUCAGAUGAAAUUUGAUACAAAAUUUUUUAUACUAUCCACAACAUGAUCAAUAUUUCUGAUCGAAAAUAUUAGUGCUAUAUUAUCACUUUUUAUAGGAUUUUUAUUUUUAGCCGUUGAUGUUAAAUUCUUUCGAUUGCUAGGUAUAUGAUAUCGAAAAAUCGCAAAAAUUAUUUUCUAGAAACUUCAAAUACGUUAGAUCAAGUCUAACGGAGCCGACGUCGAUUCGAAAAUUCCAUCAUCGAAAACGGC